GCAGGAAGACCGCAAAUCGAUCUAUUGCAGCAGAUGGUUCAAACAGUGGAGCUGAAGAGUAAUUGGAUCAGCUGUAGCAGUUAUUUCACAUAGGACAGCACCAGCAAAUGGUGAGCAUGAAGAAGUUCCUUCUGUCUCCUGACUCUGCCAUCCAAAGAAUUACUGCAAGCCACAGUGGCUUACAAGGACAUUCAGUUUACUUUCUC
rnacentral:lncRNA from 1 species